GGAGUGUAGCCCAAUGGUAGUAUAUGUGCUUAGCAUGCACGAGGCCCCAGGUUCAAUCUCUAGCACCA
rnacentral:tRNA from 1 species